GUGAGAUCAGGUUGGUUUGUUAGAAUGUCGCCGGUCAUAACCUCAAUUAUUGUCUUGUGUUUAUGCAACUUAGUAUACACAUCGAAUAGUACUGAAACCGUGCAUCAACAUCAUCACCAUCAUCGUAAAAGUGAAAUGUCUCCGUAUAGAUAUCAGAAAAAAAGUGAUGAUCGUGAGGUGAAUGCACGACAAGAGGAAACUGGAAAUGUUUUCAAAGAAAUGUACGAAUUGAUUGUUAAGUUUUUCGGGAUGUUUUCAAAACCAAUCGGUAAUUUCUUCACUGGAAUCUGGAAUGUUUUAACUUUUGUACCAAAGUUUUUCAUUCAAUUGAUGAAUCUUACUGGAUCAAUAUCCCGCACCAUUUUUGAAAUGAUUAUGAAAGGUGGUUAUAGUUGGCUUAAGGUUCAAGACAUUAUCGUGGACUUUAUUAGGAAUUUCCAAAAGGAAUUAUUGGAUGCACUGCGUGCAAACUUCUUCCCACAGAUUUCUCCGUAUAGAUCAUAAUUGCUUAAAUAAUAAUACUUAACUAGUUUAAAUUCUCUAUAAUUUUAUAUAAGUAAAUAAUGAAUAAUGCGACGGAAAAUUCUAGAGUGUUUAUUAACGCACGAAAAACGUUGUAAAUCAACGUCCGUUAUUUCCACGUAUUAAGAUAUUGUGUUUUAUAUACUCACUGUUAAAAUAAUUAUUAUAAACAUGAAUUAAGAGUAGAAAUAUGAUAUUUUCUUCGAAAUUGUACAAACUGUAUAAAUUAUAACAUUAUAACCUUAUCUUUUGUUUGCUUUACGAAAAGUUCGCUUUUGUUUAUGAGAAACCAAAAUCUACGUUUAUUGUGUCUUUGACGUUGUUCAAAAUGGCCGCGAAGUGUGUCAUCGCAGUUGCGAUAUUGAUUGUUGUAGUUGUAAUUGAUUCGAUAGAAUCGAAAGCUGUGUCAAUUCCUGAAGAAGACGAAACUGUUAAUAUUAAUAUAAAAAAUGGCGCUGGUUUGAAAAUUUCAUAUCCUGCAGGGGAGAUUAUUGUACCUUCAGAGAGGAAGAACGUUAGGAUUAAGACAAUUGAUGUUUUUGAGGAAAAAAAUUCGCCACCAGUUGGGCCUGAACCCAAAGAAACCGAUCGCAGUGUUCUUAAGUAUCCGUAUUAUCAUCAACAAAGUAAUAACCUCAAAGAACGUGUAAGACCGGAAGUGUAUCCAUGGCAGCAACAUGUUCGACCGAAAGAAACGCAUGGAAAACGUCAAAUGAAUGAUUAUUACGAUGAUUUUGAAACAUAUGAUUAUUAUGACGACUUUUUCCGGCAACCUGAACAUUCGAAUGAUCAGUCUAGAGAAUUAGUGCAUAACAGACAUAUGGCGGCCAUUUUGGAUUUCAUGCAGGAGGUUGUUUGGGCUGGACGGGCAUUUUUACAGGGAGAUAUAAAUAAUGUUAAAAAUAUGGCUUUUUAUUUGAUGCAAAAGUAUUUAUUUGGUGGGGGUUAUGGUGGUUUUUAAUACAAAGGAAAUAAUUUAUGUUGAGUAUUUUUAAAAUUAGGUUACGUGAAUAGUAAAACGAGGUUAUAUUGGUUAGCAGUAUAAAUAAAUAUUUAAUGUAAACAGAUGCAUGAUUUUUAAAUAGAAUUACACAAAUUUAUCAAUUUUCUUGUUGCAUUUUUUUAAUAUAAACAAUUAAUUAAAUUAUGGCGCGGUAAUGAGUAAUAUCUCUUAAUAUACGCGUAAUUUUGUAUUAUUCGAAUUGAGCAAUAUCUAAAAUCCUAGUUUUAUUUUAAAGGUUUUCCACCACCAUAUGUUUAUUAUAUUUAAAAAAUUACGAAAUUAUUUUUAAUCUGGCGGAUUGUUGAUAACAUAGGUGGCGCUAGUUGUAUCCAGUGUUGACUGAAUAAACUUGAUUCUAGAUUCUG